rnacentral:rRNA from 1 species
UACGUAGGGUGCGAGCGUUAAUCGGAAUUACUGGGCGUAAAGCGUGCGCAGGCGGCUUCGCAAGUCAGACGUGAAAUCCCCGGGCUUAACCUGGGAAUGGCGUUUGAAACUACGGAGCUGGAGUAUGGCAGAGGGGGGUGGAAUUCCACGUGUAGCGGUGAAAUGCGUAGAUAUCUGGAGGAACACCGGUGGCGAAGGCGGCAUCCUGGACCAAUAUUGACGCUGAGGAGCGAAAGCCAGGGGAGCAAACGGG